rnacentral:Y_RNA from 1 species
GGCUGGUCCAAUGGUGGUGGGUUAUCAGAACUUAUUAACAUUAGUGUCACUAAAGUUGGUAUUCAUCUUCCCACUGCUAAAUUUCAGUGGCUUUAA